rnacentral:rRNA from 1 species
UGGCGGACGGGUGAGGAACGCGUAGGGAUUUGUCGUUGGGUGGGGGAUAACCGCGGGAAACUGCGGCUAAUACCGCAUGACGCCUGUGGGCCAAAGGUGUGUGAGCACUGCCUGACGAGGAGCCUGCGUCCGAUUAGCUAGUAGGUUGGGUAAUGGCUGACCUAGGCUGUGAUCGGUAGCUGGUCUGAGAGGAUGAUCAGCCACACUGGGACUGAGACACGGCCCAGACUCCUACGGGGCAGCAGCG